GGUGCAGUAGCUCAGCUGGAUAGAGCAACGGUCUUCUAAACCGUAGGUCGUGGGUCCGAGCCCCACCUGCAUCA
rnacentral:tRNA from 2 species